rnacentral:rRNA from 1 species
CAAUAGCGUAUAUUAAAGUUGUUGCAGUUAAAAAGCUCGUAGUUGGAUUUGUGGUUCGUCCCGCCGGCUGGGUCAUUGACUUUUGCUGUGCUGGUCGUCCAUCCUUGGGUGGAAUCUGUGUGGCAUUAGGUUGUCGCGCAGGGGACGCCCAUCGUUUACUGUGAAAAAAUUAGAGUGUUCAAAGCAGGCUUAUGCCGUUGAAUAUAUUAGCAUGGAAUAAUGAUAUAGGACCUUGGUACUAUUUUGUUGGUUUGCGCACUGAGGUAAUGAUUAAUAGGGACAGUUGGGGGUAUUCGUAUUCCAUUGUAAGAGGUGAAAUUCUUGGAUUUUUGGAAGACGAACUACUGCGAAAGCAUUUACCAAGGAUGUUUUCAUUAA